CUCAAUGCUUUAGUCUCAAAGCUUUAGAUUUAACAAAAUGUACCAUUAUAUGCUUAAAUUUUGUUUAUUACUAAAAACAGACCUUGUGGAGCAGUGGUAACAGAACCUCGCAGAUUUGAAAGCACAAGAAGAGAAGCCUGUGGUAUAUCAGUUCUGCAUGUCAGUUUUGGGAUUCAAUAUGUUGUAUUACAGCUUUGUAUGUUCAGAUGUGUUGUAAAUUGGUCGCAGAAACCUACCCAAAGCAGCAGCUAACAUACAUGAUUCGACAACAACAACAACAACAACAACAACAACAACAACAACAACAACAACAACAACAACAACAACAAAAAACUAGCUAGAAAAAAAAAAGUAUCAAUCUCUUUAGGUUGCUGCUUGUGUAGAGACAUCGGCACCUGGUAGGUGUCACUGAAGAACUGAUACAAUGAUAAUGCUGUUUUUACACAGACAACCACUGGAGUGCGCUAGAGCUUUAUUCAAUGCCUGAAAGGUCAUUGUUAAAUAAUAGGAUUUUAUUUGUGCACCUGUUUAUAUAUUAUAAAUCAAAACUAUUCCUAUUUAUUGUAAUUGUCUGAUUUCAGCUUAACCUUUAUCCUUAACAAUAAAGAAUUAUAUAUUUUUUGUUGUUUUCAGGUACUUCCAAAGCUCCGGUUUUGGGCAGUGGGUUCCACACAAGUCUUGGAAAAGAAUUGCGAGCUCAGACGCUCCAGAAUGGGAAACGACAGAUACACAACCUCGGCAGCCAGCUGCAGCUGAACCAGCACUGCCUAGACACGGCCUUUAAUUUCUUCAAGAUGGUGGUGAGCAAGUACUUGACACGAGGGUGAAAGAUGACACACGUCAUAGCCGCCUGCCUCUACCUGGUCUGCAGGACAGAGGGAACGCCACACAUGCUCCUGGACCUCAGUGAUCUUUUACAGGUUGGCUUUCUUUCAUUUCAAUCUCUUUCAUAUAUUUUCCACUAUACUUACUCUGAAUGAUAUGACGCAACCUAAGCGGCUGUGCUAAGGUGCAUGAUGUUCAACCUCAAAAUAAUCUUUUAUACCCUCCAUAUGACCAUUGAAAGUAAUACUGUAUGAGGCAUUGCAUAUGACAUAACAGGUAAGCAGAUGCCAGUGUUUUUGGACAACAGAAAUUCUGUUUUAUAUAUAGCGUCAGUUCAUCAAAUAUAUUAGCAUAGCUUCUCUUCAUACAAUAGGGCAAACUUGUUCACAUUUCAAUGAUUUGCACAGAUAUAAACGCAGGUAGAUGCCAUAUAUAAAAUGCUUUAAAGGGAUACUCCACCCCAAAAUGAAAAUUCUCUCAUUAAUCACUUAAAGACACCCCCAUGUCGUUCCAAACCCGUAAAAGCUUCAUUCAUCUUCGGAACACAAUUUAAGAUAUUUUGGAUCAAAACCGGGAGGCCUGUGACUGUCCCAUAGACUUCCAAGUAAAUAACAG
ensembl:lncRNA